rnacentral:rRNA from 1 species
UGGUAGUNCACGCCGUAAACGAUGAGUGCUAGGUGUUAGGCCCUUUCCGGGGCUUAGUGCCGCAGCCAACGCAUUAAGCACUCCGCCUGGGGAGUACGACCGCAAGGUUGAAACUCAAAGGAAUUGACGGGGGCCCGCACAAGCGGUGGAGCAUGUGGUUUAAUUCGAAGCAACGCGAAGAACCUUACCAGGUCUUGACAUCCCUCUGAUCGCUCUAGAGAUAGAGUUUUCCUUCGGGACAGAGGUGACAGGUGGUGCAUGGUUGUCGUCAGCUCGUGUCGUGAGAUGUUGGGUUAANNNNNNCAACGAGCGCAACCCCUAUUGUUAGUUGCCAUCAUUCAGUUGGGCACUCUAGCGAGACUGCCGGUAAUAAACCGGAGGAAGGUGGGGAUGACGUCAAAUCAUCAUGCCCCUUAUGACCUGGGCUACACACGUGCUACAAUGGCUGGUACAACGAGUCGCAAGCCGGUGACGGCAAGCUAAUCUCUGGAAGCCAGUCUCAGUUCGGAUUGUAGGCUGCAACUCGCCUACAUGAAGUCGGAAUCGCUAGUAAUCGCGGAUCAGCACGCCGCGGUGAAUACGUUCCCGGGCCU